rnacentral:rRNA from 1 species
GAUGAACGCUGGCGGCGUGCCUAAUACAUGCAAGUCGAGCGAACGGACGAGAAGCUUGCUUCUCUGAUGUUAGCGGCGGACGGGUGAGUAACACGUGGAUAACCUACCUAUAAGACUGGGAUAACUUCGGGAAACCGGAGCUAAUACCGGCUAAUAUUUUGAACCGCAUGGUUCAAAAGUUCAAGACGGUCUUGCUGUCACUUAUAGAUGGAUCCGCGCUGCAUUAGCUAGUUGGUAAGGUAACGGCUUACCAAGGCAACGAUGCAUAGCCGACCUGAGAGGGUGAUCGGCCACACUGGAACUGAGACACGGUCCAGACUCCUACGGGAGGCAGCAGUAGGGAAUCUUCCGCAAUGGGCGAAAGCCUGACGGAGCAACGCCGCGUGAGUGAUGAAGGUCUUCGGAUCGUAAAACUCUGUUAUUAGGGAAGAACAUAUGUGUAAGUAACUGUGCACAUCUUGACGGUACCUAAUCAGAAAGCCACGGCUAACUACGUG